GCCAGUUGUGGUAUUACGUACGCCUGUAGUCCUGGCUUCUCAGAGGCUAAACAGGAAGGAUUGCUUGGAGCUUCCAGGAGUUCUAGGCUGGACUGUGCUUGUUCUGAUCCGGUGUCUUCACUAAACUCACAUCAAUAUGGUGACUCCAGGGAGCUGGGAACGCACCAGGUUUCCUAAGGACAGAUGUACUGUGGCAGGUCAGAAAUGAGCAGGUCAAAAACUCCCAUGCUGAUCAGUAAUGGACUCAGGCCUGCGAAUAGCCACUGCAUCUUCAAGCAAUAGCAACAUAGCAAGACCCCCGUCUCU
rnacentral:SRP_RNA from 1 species